UCUUGGUUAAUGAACCAAGGCCACACGUCAGUUUACUAAGGCAGUAAUCUGUCAUAAAAUACAACUGUAACACCCAGUAGCAUCUGCGAAAAAGUGAAAUAGUGGUGAAAUAUAUAAGGUAAACUGGCUAAUGUUU
ncrna:Nanoarchaeota archaeon SCGC AAA011-L22 RT-16 RNA